rnacentral:tRNA from 1 species
GGGAUGUAGUUCAGCGGCAGAGCGUUUACAUAGCAUGCAUAAGGCCGUGGGUUCAAUUCCCAAUAUCACCA